GACGAACGCUGGCGGCGUGCUUAAUACAUGCAAGUCGAGCGAGGCCUUGGAAUUGGAGUCCUUCGGGAUGAAGAGUCCUUGGCCUAGCGGCGGACGGGUGAGUAACGCGUGGGCAACCUACCCCAAAGUCCGGGAUAACAGUGGGAAACCGCUGCUAAUACCGGAUGGCUUUACCUGAGGGCAUCCUUGGGUAAAGAAAGGUUACGCCUUGGGAUGGGCCCGCGUCCCAUUAGCUAGUUGGUGAGGUAACGGCUCACCAAGGCGACGAUGGGUAGCCGGCCUGAGAGGGUGAACGGCCACACUGGGACUGAGACACGGCCCAGACUCCUACGGGAGGCAGCAGUAGGGAAUAUUGCGCAAUGGGCGGAAGCCUGACGCAGCGACGCCGCGUGAGCGAAGAAGGCCUUCGGGUCGUAAAGCUCUGUCCUUGGGGAAGAAGGCGAAAGCUUGACGGUACCCAAGAAGAAAGCCCCGGCUAACUACGUG
rnacentral:rRNA from 1 species